GAUCAGUAAUGCAGUAGAAGUUGUUACAAUAGAAGAAACGGAGAUAUGGAGAUGAGUAAGGGAAGCUAGUGUAAGUCUAGCACUGUCCCGCAACUGUAAUAAGCGAGCUUAAUUUUAUAAUGUCACUGUAUUUUACGGGAAGGCAAAAUUAAGUGUUAGAACUUAAAGUCAGGAGACCUGCUCAUCUCAAGUACAACCAA
rnacentral:ncRNA from 17 species